rnacentral:rRNA from 1 species
AACGAACGCUGGCGGCAGGCUUAACACAUGCAAGUCGAACGGACGUAGCAAUACGUUAGUGGCAGACGGGUGAGUAACGCGUGGGAAUAUGCCCUUUAGUUCGGAAUAACCAAGGGAAACCUUGGCUAAUACUGGAUAAGCCCGAGAGGGGAAAGAUUUAUCGCUGAAGGAGUAGCCCGCGUCUGAUUAGCUAGUUGGUGAGGUAAUGGCUCACCAAGGCGACGAUCAGUAGCUGGUCUGAGAGGAUGAUCAGCCACACUGGGACUGAGACACGGCCCAGACUCCUACGGGAGGCAGCAGUGGGGAAUAUUGGACAAUGGGGGCAACCCUGAUCCAGCCAUGCCGCGUGAGUGAUGAAGGCCUUAGGGUUGUAAAACUCUUUUAUCCGGGAAGAUAAUGACUGUACCGGAAGAAUAAGCCCCGGCUAACUUCGUGCCAGCCGCCGCCGUAACAC